rnacentral:lncRNA from 1 species
AUAAAGGCAGUGGAAAACUAGAUUAAACUCUUUAAUCUAAGCAUGCAAUGAUCAUAUCAUAAUAUCUAUUUUAGCCAUAAAAAUAAUUAUAUUAGAUCUGAAUUUAAAAAAUAUAAUAAGAGGUAAUCAAAUUACUUACUUGAUUCGUAGAAUUUCUUCUCGAAUUUGGACCUACAGAUGCCUUCAGCAGACUCUAUUGUAGCCACACAAGCGUCCGGCUCCUACGGAUAUCUACACGAGGCUUGAUCUGAUCGGAGAUUUCUUGUUCUCUUAGGAAUGCUAACUCCUUUAUAGAGAACACUUUCUUGAUGGUUGAAUUGGGUCUUUGUCAAUCUAUAAGACUCUCAAGAAAGAAGAAGACAAGAUGGAGGGAGAAGAAGACUGAAAUAGGAAUCUUUUCUUUUCUCUCUUCUAAAAUCCAACACCCACAAGAGCCCCCACGUCCCUAAGGAAAUGUCACGCCCCCUCUCUGAUUUUUAACCAUAAAAUCAGAUUCAUCAGCCUCUCACACACCCCAAAGAACCCUUCUUAAUAGGCGUCCAAGAGUUUGGGUUGGAUUGGGUAUUGACUAGGUCAAAUUUAAAUCCAAUUCAAACUUAAUCCUAUCCCAAUCUAAAAAGAGAAAGGGGAGGACGUGGAAUCUACUUUGGGCGUGGCUUUUCUUCACACCAAAACUAAUUUUUUACGUGAAGAAAUAAAGGGGCGACUUUCAUGUGGCA